rnacentral:rRNA from 1 species
CCCUUAGAUGUUCUGGGCCGCACGCGCGCUACACUGUUCGACGCAGCGAGUCUUAACCUUGACCGAAAGGUUUGGGUAAUCUUCAGCAAAGUCGAACGUGAUGGGGAUCGAUCAUUGCAAUUAUUGAUCGUGAACGAGGAAUUCCUAGUAAGUGCAAGUCAUCAGCUUGCGCUGAUUACGUCCCUGCCCUUUGUACACACCGCCCGUCGCUACUACCGAUUGAAUGGUUUAGUGAGAUCUCUGGAUUGACGCUGGCUAGGGGGCGACCCUUGGCCAGACUGUUGGGAAACUGCUCAAACUUGAUCAUUUAGAGGAAGUAAAAGUCGUAACA